AGAGGCGAUGAAAGACGUAGUAACUUGCGAUAAGCCCAGAUUAGGUAGUAACAACCAUUUGAGUCUGGGAUUUCUGAAUGGGGAAACCCACGUGCAUAAGCACGUAUCCUUACCUGAAUACAUAGGGUAAGGAGGCGAACCGGGGGAACUGAAACAUCUAAGUACCCCGAGGAAAAGAAAUCAACCGAGAUUCCGAAAGUAGCGGCGAGCGAAAUUGGACUAGCCCUUAAGCUUUACACGCGUUAGACGAACGGUCUGGAAAGUCCGACGAUACAGGGUGAUAGUCCCGUAGUUGACGACGUGUGUUCAGUGAAAUCGAGUAGGGCGGGACACGUGAUAUCCUGUCUGAAUAUGGGGGGACCAUCCUCCAAGGCUAAAUACUACUGACUGACCGAUAGUGAACCAGU
rnacentral:rRNA from 1 species